AGAUAUUCCAAAUCGAGAUUUUACUGUAAAUGCGUUAUGAUUAGUGUUGGUAAGGUUGGUGGUUUUGGCCUUUUACUAAUUUAAUAAGAUUUAAUGGAAAAGCUAAUAAAUAGUAUUAGUAUAGAGAUAAAAUUUGUAUAGAUAUAAAAUAUUAAAAAUUUGUAAAAACCUCUGUAGAACAAAAAGGUUCCCUCUUUCAAGAAGAGACAGAAUAAAAAUCUAAAAAGCAAAAGCUUGCAUAUGAGUUUCUUACAUUUGAUUUUUCGUUGCCCAAUUUGUCACACCGUGGAGCUCAAAUCCAAAUUUUUUUUUGCUGAGAGUACUAGAGUAGUGUGGAAUUCUCCGGAACACUCUGGAGUAGUGUAGAAUUCUUUAAAAUACUCUAAGGCUCUCUAGAAAAGUGUAGAACCUUCUAGAACACUCUAGAAUAGUCUAUAACUUUUUAGAACAAUUUAGAAGGAUGUAGAUACUUCUAGAAUAUUCUAGAAGGGUGUAGAUACUUCUAGAACAUUCUAGAAGGGAGGAGAUAAUUCUUGUAUAUACUAAAAUACUUUAGAAUAUUUCAGACAUAUGUAGACUUUUCUAGAAUAUUCUAGACUUGUAUGGACAUAAGUAGUAUUCUAGGACAUUCUUUUAAGGAUGUGGGAUGGUGACCAUCCAUGCUUAUAAAUAUCACCUCCAUGCUUCAUUUGUAACAUAUAGAGAGAUAGAAAGAGAUAGAGAACUAAGCAAUAUAAGCUUACACUUCCAAAACUCUUGUGCUCUCUUUGUGCCACUUUCUUAAGCAUACUUCCGCUUGUGUAAUUGCUGCCAUUUUGCCGAGUUUGGCAUCCGUGGGAAGGCUGACUAGCAAUCUUGACUUCGGGAGAAUCAAGUGAGAUGGGCUGCACGUGGGCAAAGUUUGGGGAUAAAACAAAACUCACGUGACAGUUGGUAUCAGAGCCAAGUUCGUGUCAAAGCCUAGUUGGCAUUAGAGCGCGGUUGAGUUCUUUGGGGAAUUCUUGCACGAGAUUAUGGCCAACGUUGGUGAGCAAUCCAUUUCUACCGCUCCUCCCACUCCAAGGGAAGGAGGAAAGGAAAGCGGAAAGGGCCAUAGAGAUAAGUCCCGCGACGUGAUUGGCGUGAUGAAGGAAAGGCUAGUCAAGGUGGAGACUGCCAUGUCCGAUUGAUGUGAUAAAAUCGAAGACAUAAACCUUUGCAUCGAGAAGCUAGAGUCCAAGGAGGAUGAUGGGGAGCUUCGUGGGGAGAUGCAAGGUGCCUUAAAUGUUCUCGCCAAUAAUUUAGCGAGGGACAAUGAGGCUCUUAAGAAGUUGCUUGCCCAAUGCCUGGAGAAGGUUGAUAAGCUCGAGGUGGAGCUUAACUUGUGCAAGGCCGCGUGGGCGAAUAGUGGGGAGCGCAAGUAACAAUGGUGCACAAAGUCGAUGCUCUUAAACCAAAGGCCUACGGUGGGGCUAGGAGUGCAAGGGAGAUCGACAACUUAUUGUGGAACUUGGAGAGAUACUUCGAUGCAGUGGGCAUAGUGGACGACGCUACCAAGGUAAAGUCUGUAUCUCUCUACUUGAGCAAUAUUGCUACCGUAUUGUGGAGACGCAGGUGCGAGGAUGUGGAAAAGGGCCUUUGCACCAUUAAUACAUGGGAUGAUUUUGUGCGGGAGCUUAAGAAGCAAUUUUAUCCCGACAAUGCCGAGAAAGAGGCAAGGUCAAAGCUUCGACGACUCCAACAUAAAGAUGGCUACAUUCGGGAAUAUGUGAAAGAAUUCUCCGAAUUGAUGUUGGAGAUUCCCGAUUUGGGAGAGAGAGAAACAUUCCAUGCCUUCAUUGAUGGUUUGUCUCGGUGGGCUCAAUUGGAGCUAGAAAGGCGAGGUGUGCAAGACCUUGCCAUCGCGAUGGCGGUUGCCGAGUCCUUAAUAGAGUUGAAGAAGAAGGACUCAUUCAAGCCAAAGAUAAAGAAGUACGAAGGAAGUGACAAAGGUGGAGGAGAUAGAGGAAAAUCUUCUACCAAGGAUGGUAAGGCUUCGUACAAGGAUAAAGGCAAGUGGAAGAAAGAAGAUAAGCGUAGUUCUUCUCCGAAAAAGCUUGCUUGCUUCAUCUGCGACGGACCUCAUCGUGCUUACGAGUGUCCAAAGCGUGGGAAGCUUGGAGCUUUGGUAAUCACUGAAGAGGAGAAGCGAGAAGAAGAACGAAGAAUUGCUUCCCUUCGACUCCUCAAUGCCAUCCAAGCUAAAGUGGAGCAGAAGCCUCGUGGUCGGAUGUACGUGGAGACUAACAUCGGAGGCAAAAGCAGCCAAGCCAUGGUGGAUACCGGGGUUGAUACGGUGUACAUGGCGAAGGAGGUGGCCGACUUUAUAGGGCUGCCUUAUAAAAAGGAAAAGGGCUUCAUCAAGGGCGUGAAUGCGAAGAGGCUACCUGUCAUUGGCAUAGCGAGAGGGAUCAACAUUCGAAUAGGCUAAUGGUAAGGUAAGGUCGAUAUCACCAUUGCUCCUAUUGACGAUCAACGAUUCUAUCUUGGCAUGGACUUCCUCGACAUGGUGAAGGCAUUUUUAGUUCCUUACGCCAACACCAUGUGCAUAAUGGAGAAUGGCCAACCUUGUGUGGUGCCGAUAAAGAGGGAGCUAAGCCAAGAUAUGAUGGUAUCGGCCAUACAACUCUCUAAAGGGGUAAAAAGGAAGGAGCUAACCUUCUUAGCAACCCUCAAGGUGGAAGAAGGUCCCCAUGUUGAUGAUGCCACACUUCCAAGCCCUAUCCAAGGCGUGCUUGAUGAGUUCAAAGAUGUUAUGCUGUCCGAGUUGCCGAAGAAGCUUCCUCCACGACGAGAAGUGGACCAUGAGAUCGAGUUAGAACCGAGAGCCAAACCACCCGCCUUUGCACCCUAUCGAAUGGCGCCUCCGGAGCUAGAGGAACUAAGGAGGCAACUCAAGGAGCUACUUGAUGCAGGCUAUAUAAGGCUAUCCAAAGCUCCAUAUGGUGCGCCGGUUUUGUUUUAAAAGAAGCACGACGGUUCUCUUCGGUUAUGCAUUGACUACCGUGCGCUAAAUAAGAUCACAAUCAAGAAUAAGUACCCGAUUCCUAACAUUGCCGAUAUCUUCGAUCAACUUGGUAGUGCUAAGUGGUUUACUAAGUUUAUCAAGUGCGCAUUUCCGAGGGACGUGAGCCAAAGACAACAUGCGUGACAAGAUAUGGAUCAUACGAAUUCCUUGUCAUGCCCUUUGGCCUCACGAAUGCACCGGCCAUAUUCUGUACACUUAUGAACAAGGUACUUGCUCCUUACCUUGAUCAAUUUGCUGUUGUUUAUCUAGACGAUAUUGUUGUUUAUAGCAACACUUUGGAGGAGCACGUAGAGCAUCUAAGGCUAGUGUUCAAAGCCUUGCAAGAUAACGAGCUCUACGUCAAGAAGGAGAAAUGCUCUUUUGCCCAACGAGAGGUGGCAUUCCUUGGGUAUAUCGUUGGCGAUGGAAAGUUAGGGAUGGAUGGUUCAAAGGUGAAGGCCAUCCAAGAUUAGGAGCCGCCAACCAAGGUGACAGAGUUGAGAUCUUUUCUUGAUUUGGUGAACUAUUAUCGGAGGUUCAUCAAGGACUAUUCUUCCAUCGCCACUCCUUUAAUAGAUCUAUUAAAGAAGGGUCGUACUUGGGAUUGGUCUACGAAGUGCCAACAAGCCUUUGAAGGGCUAAAGAAGACCAUCAUGGAGGAGCCGGUCUUAGCACUUCCCGACCAUAUGAAGGCAUUCGAGACCCAAACCGAUGGGCAAACCGAGAGGAUCAAUGCACUCUUGGAACUAUAUUUGAGGCACUAUGUGAGUGCCAACCAACAAGAUUGGGUGAAGCUGCUUGAUGUUGCCCAAUUCUCUUACAACUUGCAAAGAAGCGAGUCUACAGGCAAGAGUUCAUUCGAGAUAGUUACGGGCCAACAACCUUACACACCAAGCACUCUUGCCAUAGAUUGGUCAAGCAGAAGUCCACCUGCCUUCAAGCUUGCGAAGGAAUGGAGGGAGCAAGCCGACGUUGCUCGAGCCUACUUGGAAAAGGCGUCCAAGCGAAUGAAGAAGUGGGCGGACAAAAAGAGGAGACCAAUGGAGUUCAAGGAAGGGGACAAGGUACUUGUCAAGCUAUAUUUGCAUGGCAAAGCUGAUGGACUUCAUUGGGGACUCAAAAGAAGGUAAGAUGGACCUUUCCCCAUUAUUAAACGUGUGGGUAAGGUAGCGUACAAGGUAGAACUUCCACAAGGCAUCAAGAUCCAUCUUGUCUUUCAUGUGAGCAUGCUGAAGCCUUAUAGGGAGGAUCGCGAUGACCCGAGCCGAGUGGAAGGGACUCCCCGAAAGUGAGGCAAGUUGGGAGCCGAUUCGCGACUUGUGGCAAUUCGAAGAGCAAAUCAAAGCUUACGAGGAGGAGGCAACGGGGGCGUUGCCAGAUUAGGUGGGGGAGAAUGUCACACCGUGGAGCUCAAAUCCAAAUUUUUUUUUGCCGAGAGUACUAGAGUAGUGUGGAAUUCUCUGGAACACUCUGGAGUAGUGUAGAAUUCUCUAAAAUACUCUAGGGCUCUCUAGAAAAGUGUAGAACCUUCUAGAACACUCUAGAAUAGUCUAUAACUUUCUAGAACAAUCUAGAAGGAUGUAGAUACUUCUAGAAUAUUCUAGAAGGGUGUAGAUACUUCUAGAACAUUCUAGAAGAGAGGAGAUAAUUCUUGUAUAUACUAAAAUACUUUAGAAUAUUUCAGACAUAUGUAGACUUUUCUAGAAUAUUCUAGACUUGUAUGGACAUAAGUAGUAUUCUAGGACAUUCUUUUAAGGAUGUGGGAUGGUGACCAUCCAUGCUUAUAAAUAUCACCUCCAUGCUUCAUUUGUAACAUAUAGAGAGAUAUAGAAAGAGAUAGAGAACUAAGCAAUAUAAGCUUACACUUCUAAAACUCUUGUGCUCUCUUUGUGCCACUUUCUUAAGCAUACUUCCGCUUGUGUAAUUGCUGCCAUUUUGCCGAGUUUGGCAUCCGAGGGAAGGCUGACUAGCAAUCUUGACUUUGGAAGAAUCAAGUGAGCUAGGCCGCACGUGGGCAAAGUUUGGGGAUAAAACAAAACUCACGUGACAAAUUAGGGUGGGCAGUGAAGGUUUCAAUAUGUCAAGACACUUUUUGCUGUCUGUCUAAGUUUUCACUUUUACCAUUUCAUAUGUCAACCUUGCACGACUAUUUUAAUGUAAUAAUGAGUUUCAUAUUGUGUACCUCUUACCAUGUCAGCAUGUAAAUUUAAAAAAAAAAAAACAUUUAAAGACAAAAAUGAUAUGAGAUAUUAAGGAAUUAUGGUUAAAAAGGUUUGCAUUACUUAUUUUAAAUUACUAUCUUUUAAAUACGAUAAAAAUUUUAAAAUUAUUAAAAACUCAAUUAGAAUAAAUUAUUUUUUAUUAAUUUAUUUUUGCUUAGUAUUAUUUUAUAUAUAAUUCUUUGUCUAUAAGAUUAAAAUUAUAAUUUGAAUUUAUAAUUUAAAUUAUGAAAUUUAGAUUAUAUUAAAAAUUAUAAUCCCCGUGAUACAGACAUACAAUUAAUUACUAUAAAGCUGCUCAACCAUUAAGUUAUUAUUUCAAUUGAUAACAUUCAAAAUUAAAUGCAUAUAUCAUUUCAAUUUUCGAUUUAAUUGAAGACUGCAAGUUAAUAUUUUUAUUGAUCUCUUAAAAAAUAAAUGAAAAGAGUUGCAUGAAAUAAAUCUACCCAUAGUCAAUAGACUGCCCAUUACAUGUAGUUUAAUUCAAUAUCCUAAUCACCAAUAUGCAAGUGAAAAAAAGUCCCUAAGUGAACCACGUCAAAAACUGAAAAAAAUAUAUUAAUUUCAACAUGAUAAAAAUAAAUUGGCUAAGAAUAGGAGUAAUAGAAAGAUGAAACGACUGUCCCUGGUUUCAUUAACUGUAGUUAUAAUUAUUUCUUUGAUUGUAUGUUUAAGUUAAAUUAAGGUAACAUCAAAUAUACAAUUCCGUUCUUUUAUUUUUAAAAGUAUAUAUAAUAAUUUCUAUGAGAUUUUGAGUUUAUUAACCGGUUAAUUAUACAUAUUUUUGUGACUAACAAUAGAAAUUUAUAGUAGGUCCGAAGCUUUGCAUGUUAACAUCUUGCGUGAAAAAUCAAGAUUUUUAAAUAUUAAAUGAAAAGGUAAAAUAAAAAAAUGUAAAAGAAGCAAAUUAGGAUAAAAAAAUAAAUAAAGCAGAUUAAUAUUUCUAUAAGAUUAUUUUCUAAAUUGGUUUUAUAUAUAAUUGAUAGUUCCUAUCAUAAUUUUAUAUUGUGGUUGACAACAUACGAAUUUAAUAUACAUUGAUAGAUAUUGACAUGGCUCUAAAUUAGAGCUUUAAUAAAAGAAGGAAUUGAUUACAUUAUUAAGAAUAUUAAAUUUUGAUACAUACUGUGCUAUAAUUUUUAAUUUUAAAAUUUCUAGCCCGAACUAUAUAAAUCACCAAUUGCACAUACAAUUGUUCAAAAAUUGGACUAUGAAAUUCUAAAAGAAUGAAAAUAUUGAAUAUUAUGAAUUGUUAAAUAAAGUAAAACUUAGUUGAAUAUUGUAAAUUUAAAAGAUUAUCUAAAUAUUUUUAAAAUUAUGCUAUUAUGCAAUAUUAAAGGUGUUUAUGAUUCUAAAUUUAAUAAUUAUUUUAUUUUUUAUUACAUAAAUAUGUUGAAUCCAAUUAUUAAGAUUUACAUGUAUUAUAUGCGGAUGGAAAACUAAGUAAGUUAAAAAUUCAAUCAAAGUUAUGAAUCAAUAUGACAAAAAUAGAUGACAGGGAGAUUACUAAAAGCACGUCAUAUGCUAGAUUUCAAUCUGAAAUUCUAAAUGUCACGAGUUUAAAGGGUAAAAAGGUCUCCUUGAUUUUGUUUACUUUAAUCUAGAAAUUUUGUGUUCCUCCUUUGUUUAUUCUUCUAUCAAACUGUCCACAGUUUGACAUCAAGAGCAGAGUUCCCUUCAGCAGUGGCUACAAUGGAUGGUUUUGGAGGUGCAGACCUGACUGUUACUAAA